AUUGAGACGUCGAACCGUGCGCGAACGAAAUGAGUCAUAUGUUUGAAAACAAUAUUUUGCUGAAUCGAAUUGUGAAAUACGACAAUGAGUGUAUAUAAACAAAUGUGGUUAAACGGUUACGCGAACGAACAUCGGUAUAAGUGUAUUUACAAUCUAUCUCAGUCUUCGCGGAUUCGUUCGAAAGGAAACGUGUGAUUCACGCCAUUGUUCGCCAUUAUUCGCUGCCAACUUGCUGCCAAUUCUACAAAUUACUGAUGGCUUAACGUUCGCCGAUAAGAAGAACGGACAAAGGAAAGGAGGUGAAAAUCGAACGGCAUUCCACCCGGAGAAGGAGAGGCUGCUACGAUAUUUAUGGAUGCUGGAUUUAGGAGAAAUUGAAUAUGUAAAAGGUAAGUAUAAAACAGGUAAGUAUGUCAAAUUCUAUAAUUAGAUGUAAGUAAAAUGAUGAAAAAAUUAAAAAAUUGUUCCUGAAAAUAUUUAAAGAGGUAAGUAUGUGAAAGGUAAGUAUAAGGUAAGUAUAAGGUAAGUAUAUUUCACGUGCGACCUCUUCUGAAAUUAUAUUCUCCUGAUAGAAAAACCUAAAAAUUCAACAAAAAUGAACUCUGAAAUUCUUAGAAAAAUUUCACGUGCCACCUCCUUUCCAGUUAUAUUUUCCUGUUAUAAAAGUCUAAUUUUGGAAAAAUUUUUCCUGUUUAAAAUUUCGACUUUGUAUUAGGAGAACA